rnacentral:rRNA from 1 species
AUUGAACGCUGGCGGCAGGCCUAACACAUGCAAGUCGAACGAGUGGCGGACGGGUGAGUAAUGUCUGGGAAACUGCCUGAUGGAGGGGGAUAACUACUGGAAACGGUAGCUAAUACCGCAUACCAUCGGAUGUGCCCAGAUGGGAUUAGCUAGUAGGUGGGGUAAAGGCUCACCUAGGCGACGAUCCCUAGCUGGUCUGAGAGGAUGACCGGCCACAAGGGAAAUGCAGCACGGUCCAGACUCCUACGGUAGGCAGCAGUGGGGAAUUUUGCACGAUGUGCGCAAGCCUGAUGCAGCCAUGCUGCUUGUGUGAAGAGGGCCUUCGGGUUGGAAAGCACUUUCAGCGGGGAAGCGUUACUCGCAGAAGAAGCACCGGCUAACUCCGUGCCAGCAGCCGCGGUAAUAC